rnacentral:rRNA from 1 species
AUUGAACGCUGGCGGCAGGCCUAACACAUGCAAGUCGAGCGGAUGAAGGGAGCUUGCUCCUGGAUUCAGCGGCGGACGGGUGAGUAAUGCCUAGGAAUCUGCCUGGUAGUGGGGGAUAACGUCCGGAAACGGGCGCUAAUACCGCAUACGUCCUGAGGGAGAAAGUGGGGGAUCUUCGGACCUCACGCUAUCAGAUGAGCCUAGGUCGGAUUAGCUAGUUGGUGGGGUAAAGGCCUACCAAGGAGACGAUCCGUAACUGGUCGGAGAGGAUGAUCAGUCACACUGGAACUGAGACACGGUCCAGACUCCUACGGGAGGCAGCAGGGGGGAAUAUUGGACAAUGGGCGAAAGCCUGAUCCAGCCAUGCCGCGUGUGUGAAGAAGGUCUUCGGAUUGUAAAGCACUUUAAGUGGGGAGGAAGGGCAGUAAGUUAAUACCUUGCUGUUUUGACGUUACCAACAGAAUAAGCACCGGCUAACUUCGUG